AAAUAAAUAUACAGAUUUACUAUUCGUACACAAAUUUCUGUACUGACACGCUUAACUGUAUGUUUUUAUAUUUAAAUGUUUGUUGUUUACCAUUUUAACCGCUAAUUUAAUAGCCGCGAUGCUAGCUAUCAUAAUGAACUUCGUGGGACGAAAUGGAGAGUAUUAAAUCACAAACGGCGAUUUUUAGUCAGCUUUGUUCAUUAUAUUCACUUUUAGUCAUUGUAACUCUGUUCUUUUCUGAACUAAUUUGUUGUCGUUUACGUUUGUUAAUCGUUACCCAUCCAUGUUACAUGUAGACUAUCUAAUAGCUUAUUUUUCGAUUCAUUUAACUUACAGAAAAAAACUGUUUUUGUCCUUUUCUCUCCUCAGAACCUAUACAUUUAACAGGGUUCACUGAGCAGCACUAAUGUAAGUAGACCUUUUUUUUUUUUUUUUUUACUUUGAAAUAACUGAAAUAGUGUUUCAGAGUGAGGCCUAACAUUAAUCCAAAAUUAUAUAUGAAUCCAGUCUUAUAUACAAUAUUAAUGUUACACUGAAUUGAAUUAAAGAGUUUAUAAUUUAUGUUUUCUUUUGUUUUUGUUUUUUUUAGCAGUUAAUGAAGACGUUGUAUGUUUCAUGAAUAUGGCUCUGUAGUGGACUGGUGGAGCUGCUGAUGUCUGUUGCUGGCUGACAAUAAAGUGAUCUCUUUGGACUUACCUCAUCUUUUGAAGAAAUCCGAGCCUUGCUCCUGAUCCUGCUGUGCUGGACGGUAUAUGAUUAAUUGAGAAUCUUACACUAACUGUGGUAAUGAAGACCCAUUUGGUGAGAGCAGCACUGCAGAUUUUCCUGAUGGUGAGGAGCUACUUGCUGACGAACCCACCAACAUGAUUUCACCUUAUAAGUGCCUUUGUUCUAUUCAACAUUAUACAGAAAAGCUGUUAAACGUACAGCAAAGUGUACUAUUUUUCUGCUGCAUUUGUUGGGUAUUCAAGAGGAGAUCAUCAAGCUACCUACAGCUGUCUUGAGGCUUAUCAAUUUCUUAAAAUUUCCUGUGUGAAUUUUCCCAAUCUGUGACCUCCAUUUAGAACAAGAAAGAAUGUUAUCGUUGGAUCAUGAUGUACAUUAAAUUUGCUCAUUUGAAUUGUACUAUUUUUGAAGUAUGAUUGUUUUAAAGUUCUAAGAUAUUUGAGUCACAUUUAUUUGUUUAUGGUUUUGUCAAGGUGUAAGUUUUAUUUAUUUUUUAUUUAUAACAAUAUUAACACUGGUGUUCCCAUGAAUUUGAUUGUGAUGUGCAGUAUUGAUUAUUUAUUUGAAACU